AUUGAACGCUGGCGGCAGGCCUAACACAUGCAAGUCGAGCGGAUGAAGGGAGCUUGCUCCUGGAUUCAGCGGCGGACGGGUGAGUAAUGCCUAGGAAUCUGCCUGGUAGUGGGGUAUAACGUCCGGAAACGGGCGCUAAUACCGCAUACGUCCUGAGGGAGAAAGUGGGGGAUCUUCGGACCUCACGCUAUCAGAUGAGCCUAGGUCGGAUUAGCUAGUUGGUGGGGUAAAGGCCUACCAAGGCGACGAUCCGUAACUGGUCUGAGAGGAUGAUCAGUCACACUGGAACUGAGACACGGUCCAGACUCCUACGGGAGGCAGCAGUGGGGAAUAUUGGACAAAGGGCGAAAGCCUGAUCCAGCCAUGCCGCGUGUGUGAAGAAGGUCUUCGGAUUGUAAAGCACUUUAAGUUGGGAGGAAGGGCAGUAAGUUAAUACCUAGCUGUUUUGACGGUACCAACAGAAUAAGCACCGGCUAACUUCGUG
rnacentral:rRNA from 1 species